AACACAUGCAAGUCGAGCGGGGUAGCAAUACCCAGCGGCAGACGGGUGAGUAACACGUGGUCAACCUUCCCGACAGUGGGGGAUAACUAGCCGAAAGGUUAGCUAAUACCGCAUACGAUCUAUGAGAGGCAUCUCUUAUAGAUGAAAGGAGCAAUCCGCUUUCGGACGGGACCGCGUCCCAUUAGCUAGAUGGUGGGGUAAUGGCCUACCAUGGCGACGAUGGGUAGCUGGUUUGAGAGAGCGACCAGCCACACUGGGACUGAGAAACGGCCCAGACUCCUACGGGAGGCAGCAGUGAGGAAUUUUCCGCAAUGGGCGAAAGCCUGACGGAGCGACGCCGCGUGUGGGAAGAAGGCCUUCGGGUCGUAAACCACUGUCGAAGGGGACGAUAAUGACGGUACCCUUGGAGGAAGCCCCGGCUAACUACGUGCCAGCAGCCGCGGUAAGACGUANGGGGCAAGCGUUGUUCGGAAUUAUUGGGCGUAAAGCGCUCGUAGGCGGGACUGGAAGUCCGUGCUGAAAGACCUCGGCUCAACUGAGGGAC
rnacentral:rRNA from 1 species